GGGUGGUAAUGCCGGAUGCUCCAGUUGACCGCAUGGUCCUCUGGGAAAGCUUUUGCGGUAUGGGAUGGGGUCGCGUCCUAUCAGCUUGAUGGCGGGGUAACGGCCCACCAUGGCUUCGACGGGUAGCCGGCCUGAGAGGGCGACCGGCCACAUUGGGACUGAGAUACGGCCCAGACUCCUACGGGAGGCAGCAGUGGGGAAUAUUGCACAAUGGGCGCAAGCCUGAUGCAGCGACGCCGCGUGCGGGAUGACGGCCUUCGGGUUGUAAACCGCUUUUGACUGGGAGCAAGCCCUUCGGGGUGAGUGUACCUUUCGAAUAAGCACCGGCUAACUACGUGCCAGCAGCCGCGGUAAUACGUAGGGUGCAAGCGUUAUCCGGAAUUAUUGGGCGUAAAGGGCUCGUAGGCGGUUCGUCGCGUCCGGUGUGAAAGUCCAUCGCUUAACGGUGGAUCCGCGCCGGGUACGGGCGGGCUUGAGUGCGGUAGGGGAGACUGGAAUUCCCGGUGUAACGGUGGAAUGUGUAGAUAUCGGAAAAGAACACCA
rnacentral:rRNA from 1 species